rnacentral:rRNA from 1 species
GAUGAACGCUGGCGGCGUGCCUAAUACAUGCCAGUCGAGCGAACAGACGAGGAGCUUGCUCCUCUGACGUUAGCGGCGGACGGGUGAGUAACACGUGGAUAACCUACCUAUAAGACUGGGAUAACUUCGGGAAACCGGAGCUAAUACCGGAUAAUAUAUUGAACCGCAUGGUUCAAUAGUGAAAGACGGUUUUGCUGUCACUUAUAGAUGGAUCCGCGCCGCAUUAGCUAGUUGGUAAGGUAACGGCUUACCAAGGCAACGAUGCGUAGCCGACCUGAGAGGGUGAUCGGCCACACUGGAACUGAGACACGGUCCAGACUCCUACGGGAGGCAGCAGUAGGGAAUCUUCCGCAAUGGGCGAAAGCCUGACGGAGCAACGCCGCGUGAGUGAUGAAGGUCUUCGGAUAGUAAAACUCUGUUAUUAGGGAAGAACAAAUGUGUAAGUAACUAUGCACGUCUUGACGGUACCUAAUCAGAAAGCCACGGCUAACUACGUG